rnacentral:rRNA from 1 species
AACGAACGCUGGCGGCGUGGAUAAGACAUGCAAGUCGAACGGAUUAUCUUUCGUAGCAAUACGGGAGGUAGUCAGUGGCGCAAGGGUGCGUAACACGUGGGCAACCUGCCCGGAAGUGGGGGAUAGCUCGCCGAAAGGCGAAUUAAUACCGCAUGUGGCUAGGGAAGACAUCUUCCUGAGGCCAAAGUUGGCGCAAGCUAACGCUUCUGGAUGGGCCCGCGGCCUAUCAGCUAGUUGGUGAGGUAACGGCUCACCAAGGCGAUGACGGGUAGCUGGUCUGAGAGGACGACCAGCCACACUGGAACUGAGACACGGUCCAGACACCUACGGGUGGCAGCAGUCGAGAAUUUUUCUCAAUGGGGGAAACCCUGAAGGAGCGACGCCGCGUGGAGGAUGAAGGUCUUCGGAUUGUAAACUCCUGUCAUUGGUGAACAAGGCUAUCGGAGUAACUGCCGUAUAGUUUGAUAGUAGCCGAAGAGGAAGAGACGGCUAACUCUGUGCCAGCAGCCGCAGUAAAAC